AUUUAAAUAGCUUAUAUUAAGAGUGUGAUAUUGAAGAUAUCAAGGAGAUUAUUUUAUCUUUAAAUAUUUAUAAAAA
rnacentral:tRNA from 1 species